GUGCCAGCCGCCGCGGUAAUACCGGCAGCCCAAGUGAUGGCCGAUCUUAUUGGGCCUAAAGCGUCCGUAGCUGGCCGCGCAAGUCCAUCGGAAAAUCCACCCGCCCAACGGGUGGGCGUCCGGUGGAAACUGCGUGGCUUGGGACCGGAAGGCGCGACGGGUACGUCCAGGGUAGGAGUGAAAUCCUGUAAUCCUGGACGGACCGCCGAUGGCGAAAGCACGUCGCGAGAACGGAUCCGACAGUGAGGGACGAAAGCCAGGGUCUCCAACCGGAUUAGAAACCCGAGUAGCC
rnacentral:rRNA from 1 species